rnacentral:rRNA from 1 species
GUAGGGAAUAUUGCGCAAUGGAGGCAACUCUGACGCAGCCAUGCCGCGUGCAGGAAGAAGGCGCUACGCGUUGUAAACUGCUUUUAACCGGGAAGAAACCCCAGGACGUGUCCUGGGUUGACGGUACCGGAGGAAUAAGCACCGGCUAACUUCGUGCCAGCAGCCGCGGUAAUACGAAGGGUGCAAGCGUUAUCCGGAUUCAUUGGGUUUAAAGGGUGCGUAGGCGGAGCGUUAAGUCAGUGGUGAAAUCCUGCAGCUUAACUGUAGACUUGCCAUUGAUACUGGCGCGCUUGAGUGCGCUUGAAGUGGGCGGAAUGUGCCGUGUAGCGGUGAAAUGCUUAGAUAUGGCACAGAACACCAAUUGCGAAGGCAGCUCACUAAGGCGAUACUGACGCUGAGGCACGAAAGCGUGGGGAUCGAACAGGAUUAGAUACCCCAGUAGUCC